GGGUCGCAAGCCAUGGAUGGAGGGUUAGGAAGCAUCCGUUGAGGCUACUGUGUGGCGAUUUAAGAAGAUUAAGGACGAAGACAUAUACUGUUUGGAGUUUCGAAGGCCUUUAGUGAAGGAAAAAAAGGUGAGUGAGUUUGGUUAAUUCCUUCUGUAAAUUCCCAAUUUGGUGAGGAUUGAAGUCUGCUAUUUCCUUUGACGAGGAUUGAUCCUGUUGCAUUGUUCUGUUAAAUUCCUUUUCCACCUUUGUUUUGUUAAUUUAGAUUCNGAGGACCUUUUCUUUUCCCCCUUGGUAAGGAGCAAGUAAAUCUGGUUUCAUUUUCAAUUAGUAUGUCUGUUUCAUAUCAUAGCAUAAUGAUGAUUCAGAGUCUUAUCACUCAAUUAUAGAACCCUUUUUUCCUGUAACUUUGACAGUUUUCAAUGCAGUACAAGAUUAAGGUUCAUUAAAAUUUUAGAUAAUAAAUAAGGUAAGUGCUUUGCUAAGUUGAGACAACAUGGUUACAGGGUAACACAUUAAGUUUCUCAUAAUCGGGAUGCAUAAUGUGACACCUGGAGAAAAUGUAUUUUCAAGUUUCUAUUAUUUUCUUUAGUCUGCAGUCACUAUUGUGAAAUUUCAAAAAAGUCGGGGUAGUGUAA
rnacentral:lncRNA from 1 species